rnacentral:rRNA from 1 species
CUACGGAGGGUGCAAGCGUUACUCGGAAUCACUGGGCGUAAAGGAUGCGUAGGCGGAUAAUCAAGUCAAAAGUGAAAUCCUACAGCUUAACUGUAGAACUGCUUUCGAAACUGGUUAUCUAGAAUAUGGAAGAGGCAGAUGGAAUUAGUGGUGUAGGGGUAAAAUCCGUAGAGAUCACUAGGAAUACCGAUUGCGAAGGCGAUCUGCUGGGACAUUAUUGACGCUGAGGCAUGAAAGCGUGUGGAGCAAACAGGAUUAGAUACCCUAGUAGUCC